UGUCCUGUUGUUGGACGAGACGAACAACUUGAUCUCAA
rnacentral:rRNA from 1 species